rnacentral:rRNA from 1 species
AUACGUAGGGGGCAAGCGUUGUCCGGAAUCAUUGGGCGUAAAGGGCGCGUAGGCGGAUAUUUAAGUCUGAUGUGAAAACCUAGGGCUCAACCCUGGGACUGCAUCGGAAACUGGAUAUCUUGAGGGCAGGAGAGGAAAGUGGAAUUCCACGUGUAGCGGUGAAAUGCGUAGAUAUGUGGAGGAACACCAGUGGCGAAGGCGACUUUCUGGACUGUAACUGACGCUGAGGCGCGAAAGCGUGGGGAGCAAACAGGAUUAGAUACCCUGGUAGUCCACGCCGUAAACGAUGAGUGCUAGGUGUAGAGGGUAUCGACCCCUUCUGUGCCGCAGUAAACACAAUAAGCACUCCGCCUGGGGAGUACGGUCGCAAGACUAAA